rnacentral:snoRNA from 1 species
ACCAUCCUUUUGAUAGACCCAGGGGCCACCUCGUCCGGUUGCUCCCCUGGUUGCCACUAAGGAUGCAAAAAAUAAAUUACUUGCGCUUUCUGCUUGCUGACUGGGCAGCCCAGAUGGAAUUGGGGAAUUCACAA